GCAGCCGUAGCUCAGCUGGAUAGAGUACUUGGCUACGAACCAAGGGGCCACGAGUUCGAAUCUUGUCGGCUGCACCA
rnacentral:tRNA from 4 species